rnacentral:rRNA from 1 species
CCUACGGGUUGCAGCAGUAGGGAAUCUUCGGCAAUGGACGAAAGUCUGACCGAGCAACGCCGCGUGAGUGAAGAAGGUUUUCGGAUCGUAAAACUCUGUUGUUAGAGAAGAACAAGGACGUUAGUAACUGAACGUCCCCUGACGGUAUCUAACCAGAAAGCCGCGGCUAACUACGUGCCAGCAGCCGCGGUAAUACGUAGGUGGCAAGCGUUGUCCGGAUUUAUUGGGCGUAAAGCGAGCGCAGGCGGUUUCUUAAGUCUGAUGUGAAAGCCCCCGGCUCAACCGGGGAGGGUCAUUGGAAACUGGGAGACUUGAGUGCAGAAGAGGAGAGUGGAAUUCCAUGUGUAGCGGUGAAAUGCGUAGAUAUUAGGAGGAACACCAGUGGCGAAGGCGGCCUGCUGGACAUUAACUGACGCUGAGGAGCGGAAGCGUGGGGAGCAAACAGGAUUAGAUACCCGCGUAGUC